CACGCUUCGUCCCCAAUCUGUCGAUCCCCUCUCCGCUCGCCUCCUCCUCUCCCGGGUCGCUGCGCCGCCGGCUCAGCCGCUUCUCCUGCGCCUUCUCCUCCUCGCUCCUCUCCUCAUAGAUGAGUCCUCGACCAGAUCGGCGUCCAGCGCAGGAGGAUCCGGAUGGUCGUGGUGGUGGCAUAUUCAGCGGCGUCGCCGGACGAGCUCCAGGCACGGGGAAGAUAUCUCCACGGGCCCGCGCAACCACGUCCCCUCGCUGACGUCGGCAUGUAGUCCGCCCAUGCCGCCGAGGAGAGGGAGCAGCCGCGCCCGGAGGAGGUCGUCCCCAACGUCUGCAUAAUCCAGUCCGGAUUUGUGGAGAGCCCGGCGCAGCACCAUCUACAGGGCCGGAGCUUCAAUGACGAAUCCACUAUUCACAGACAGCCCAACUCGACAGGCACGAGCCAUGUCGACAGUCGAGGUGGCACUCGGGGGCAUGCUCGCCUCGGCAGUCAUCAAGGUGGCGAGAUCAAUUCUACCAUUUCAGGCAAGAUCAAGCUGCACAGGAAACUGAGGAACGAUCUGAAGAACAUGAAGAUGAUGCCAGAGUCGGUGGAGGUUGUGCUCGGCGACGUUGAGAGGGAGUCUAUCAAGCAUAAGUCCAUGCUUCUGUGGCUGAAUCGGCUUAAGGAUGCCGCGAACGACAUCUCCGACAUGCUUGAAGAUUUUGAAGAUGAAACCGACUUCAACCUGCUAUGCAAGAUUCUGUCGAUUUGGCCACUAUCAAUCUUGAUCUGAAUGAUGUUGUUUAAUAAUAGAUGAAUAUUUUUAGAUAAUGAACUACAUCUAAAACUUUUUUAUGUAGUGAAGUAGAUCUGAACCUCACUGUUGGAGUUGAUCUUUGAGUCGAUGUUAAGUAAAAGCUACUUCUGCUUGUUGAUGCAAGACCACCUUUAGAUUCGAAAAUGUCCCUGCCUUCUUUUGUUUGACCAAUAGUAAGCUAUGUCCACAAAUACCAUGAUUUGAUUGAGGGGAAAGUGAAGUAGAACUAGUCUGGUAUCCCAAGUGUAAUAUCAGUUUCUGCAUUGUUUUUCUCAACCACCUGAUUGAAACUAGUUUGUAAUGCCAUCUCCGCCCCUUUCAAGCCUUCCAUGGUACUGAUACACCGCAUUGUACCUCUUGCAGUGGGCAGCCACGAUGAAGAAGAUUAAGAUGCCACGUAAGAUGAGAUCGAUGCAAAAGCGCCUACAAAAGAUGGACUGUGAUAGUUAUGGUGUUCAGCCAGAAAUUCACUGCAAGGAGCGGCAAGUUCCUGACAUCCAGGAAACAACAGGAUAUGUGGAGGAGGCAGAAAUCAUCCGCAGGACUGAUGAUGAAAGGAAAAUCUUGGAUUGCAUAUCUGGGAGCAAUAGUUAUUUCCCCCUGCUUUUGAUUAUAGUGAUUGGAGUCAGUAGGUAGUGAUUAGAGUCAGUAGGUAAUACAGGACAUGGUAAAUUUCAUUGGAAUAUAACUUGCAAGUUGAUGGGUUCAGAACCUUUGUGCUGUGAAAAAGAGUUACAUUCUUCUGAUUAUGCCACUGGACUAUGGCCAUUUUCCCUUCAAAUUAGCUAGGAAUCUGUCUAUUUAGGCAGUGUAUGGCGCCGUAUAGAAUGGACAGUAAUUAUGUAUAGUAUUUCUUCGAAAACCAGAAUUGGCUCAAUUUGGAAGAAUGGCUGCUUUAUGUGAAUUUGUUA